UUUUAAAGAAAAUUGUUUGUUGAGUCUUUUGAGAUGUUUUAUUUUCUUUCUGGUUCCACGAAGAUUAUUUUAUUCUAGCGCAGCUCGCCUUGGUAAUCAGACACCGGCUUCACUUUUUGGAGAGAGGAUCUAUCUAAGUUCUGUUUCGUCAAGGAUGUGCCUAGGAAUGACCAUUUUUGAUCUUAUCAUUGACAUGAGAAUUAAAAGGGUAAAACACUAAGACUGCUGACAAGAGUAAUAUUUCGCGUUUGAGCUGAG
rnacentral:lncRNA from 1 species